CCGGUCCUGCGCGAGGACCUCGCGCGGGCGACCCUGGUGUGGGUGCAGGAGGUGGCCGCACUCCUCGGCCAGGUGCAGCCCCUGGCGCCGGC
rnacentral:tRNA from 1 species